UCGGAACGUGUCCUGUUGUGGGGGAGUAACUGAUCGAAAGAUCAGCUAAUACCGCAUGAGACCUGAGGGUGAAAGCGGGGGAUCGCAAGACCUCGCGCGACAGGAGCGGCCGAUGUCUGAUUAGCUAGUUGGUGAGAUAAAAGCUUACCAAGGCGACGAUCAGUAGCUGGUCUGAGAGGAUGAUCAGCCACAUUGGGACUGAGACACGGUCCAAACUCCUACGGGAGGCAGCAUG
rnacentral:rRNA from 1 species